rnacentral:lncRNA from 1 species
CGCAGAAUCUCUCCGCCGCCCCUGCUCCAGGCCCCUGAUCCGGGCAAAAUUUUCUGUGCAUCCCAGGAGCUAAGUUUCCUCUCGGGGCUUGUGUGAGUUGGGAGACAGGAAACCUGCCUGCAGUGGUUUAAACAGGUACAACAGGAUACGGGAGAAGGACUGGUCUUGUCUCCGUGCUGACUGAGACUCCGGGACGGUAGGUGCCGAGGACUCCCCCCGCAUUCCAGAGUGGGGACGCCCACCAAAGCCGGAGGUGCUUGAGAAGCAGUUUAGGGACCUGAGCCGACCACCCCACCUCGAGUCACAAAAGAGGCCGGAGAAGCUGAGAGCAAUUAGAAAUAAUCAGAGAUAUCACUUCUCAGGAGAGAAGCGUCCUGCCCCCCCCCCCCCCAGCAGAGGGAAAGAGGUGGGGGCGUCCUAUUCCUCCCAAACAGAGGGAAAGAGGUGGGGGCAUCCUGUCUCCCUCCCCCACGGCAGAGGGAAAGAGGUGGGGGCGUCCUGCCCCCCCCAGCAGAGGGAAAGAGGUGGGGGCGUCCUAUUCCCCCCAAACAGAGGGAAAGAGGUGGGGGCGUCCUGCCCCCCCACGGCAGAGGGAAAGAGGUGGGGGCAUCCUAUUCCCCCCAAACAGAGGGAAAGAGGUGGGGGCGUCCUGCCCCCCCACAGCAGAGGGAAAGAGGUGGGGGCAUCCUGUCUCCCUCCCCCACGGCAGAGGGAAAGAGGUGGGGGCGUCCUGCCCCCCCCCAGCAGAGGGAAAGAGGUGGGGGCGUCCUAUUCCCCCCAAACAGAGGGAAAGAGGUGGGGGCGUCCUGUCUCCCCCACGGCAGAGGGAAAGAGGUGGGGGCAUCCUAUUCCCCCCAAACAGAGGGAAAGAGGUGGGGGCGUCCUGCCCCCCCACAGCAGAGGGAAAGAGGUGGGGGCGUCCUGUCUCCCCCACGGCAGAGGGAAAGAGGUGGGGGCGUCCUGUCCCCCACCCCCCACCCCUGCCGAUGGAAAGCAGGUUCACCAGGAUCUCUGAGUCAGUCAGUAAACCGUCCGCUGAUCCAGGAACAGAGGUAACUUAGAGAACACAGCACACUGGUCUCUGACCUGAUCCCCAAAAAUCUAGGAGGGAGGACUUCCCC